rnacentral:rRNA from 1 species
GGUCAAGCUACAAAGGGCGCAUGGUGAAUGCCUUGGCAUCAGGAGCCGAUGAAGGACGCGAUAAGCUGCGAUAAGCUUCGGGUAGACGCACAUAGUCAGAGAUCCGAAGAUUUCCGAAUGAGGAAACUCACAUGGGAAACCCCAUGUAUCAUAAAGUGAAUACAUAGCUUUAUGAAGGUAUACCCAGGGAACUGAAACAUCUAAGUA